AAAGAGAUAAUUUUUCCUUUUCAUAUCUUUCAACUUUGCAUCAUUAAUUAACGACUUUGCUUUGUGCUUCACUAAGUUGAACUCCUUUUGUUGCAAUAGGGAUCCCAUCACCUAUGAGACUUUAAUAUUCUUUUUAUUCCAAGAAAUUUUCCAUGAACAUACUCUAAUGAUCAUAAUGUCCAUCGAAUUUUUAAAUUAUGUGCUGCACAAAGCCACUCAAUCAUCAUAUUUGCUCUAUUGGUUUCUACAAGAUCAGGUCCCUAAUGAACCUCUUAUACCA
rnacentral:lncRNA from 1 species